GCAUUCUAAACAUUCGAUAUGCUCUUAACUGCCGCCAAAUGUGCGAAUGUCUAGACUAGAAAUACUACAACAAAAAGAUAUCAAAUUAAAGCAAUGGUGUCUACAAGUAUACCAGUCCAAUUGUAAUAUAGGUUUGUACAACGAGGUAUUGGAAGUACUUCGAGGAUCGUAUCCAAUGGAGGAUGGAUUAACUCUAAAAUUAUCUUCUACAAUAAAAGGUCUAAAUAGUAUUCACCAAAAUAUCAUAUUAAUAUAAAUAAUAAUAACGAGAAUUAGUAUUCUGAAAUAAAAUAAAACAAACUUAAUCAACACAGUAAUCUAUUUUAACAGGAAGAAGAUUAACUUGCUUUAGUGGUUCUUAUUAAUUAGCUAAUAUCUAACCAAUUAUUACAUAUCGGCCUCUAACUAAUUACUUAAUCGAUAAAUAUUCACUUAUCUCUCGACCUCACUCUCUAAAAUAGGAUAAAUUAUGAUUUACUCGACAAAUUUUUCUCUCAACCUUGUUUAGUAAAUGACUUCCUAGGGUCGUCAAUCCUAGGUUUAAGCAUACAUAAUUUUUACCAAUUAAUUCUUAUCGGAAACCCUCGUUCUUCCGUUAAUUACUCCAACAUCCGCUCGUUAAUCUUUUCGAAGGACUUAGCCACUCAUGGAUCUAGAUGUCAUUUUCCUAAGAAUCAAUUUAAUCAUGCAAGAACACAAAUUAAACUAAAACAAUAGGGAAAUAGAAAUUGAUUUGUUUUUGUAAGUUAGAUACGCUUAGAUUCGUGAAAUCCUUUGACAGCUAUGGAGAUAUCGAUGUCGACAAUUAAUAAGUGAAAGAAAAAUAUUAAAAUACUUAAUAACCAAGCUCAAAUCGAAUCCAAGUUCGAACAAGAAACAAUAAUCGUGUAACACCCCAAACUCAGAUUCGGCGUGUCACAUUGAAGUGUUUUUCGAAAACCAUGUUUUCAUUGAAAACCCUUCUUGAUGUAAAAUUCAUUGGAGCGUUAUUGUAAAACUCAUGUUUUAAUUAAAAAUCUUUGAAAAGAAUAUUUUCGUUAUAGAUUAAAGUGAAUGGAAGCUGUGCACCAGGUAGGAAGCCAGAAAAGAGGAGGUGAGUCUAUUGGACUGCUUAAGUACCAAGCUCUUCAUGGAUCCAAUCCUAGACAUGCACACAUCCAUUGCCAGACUUAAAGCAUAUUACUUGUCCACGAACAACAAAUUAACUUUAAGUCCAUUUAAAAUAUUUAUUUCCUUUGAAAACAUUUACGUUGCGGAAGCUUUGCUCGGUAAUCGUGAUAUUUUUAAAAUAAGUAACUUUUAUAAAACGCGCCCUAGAGCUAACCAAUUUAAUAACCCAAAAUAUUAAAAAAAAUAAAAAAGCGGCAUUAUUACAACUUAAACCAGAAUAAAAAUAAUCAAAAUAAUAAAUGCGAAACUUAUUUUAAAGAAAAUAGAAACUUAAUCUUCGUGGCCACUCUGAAUCCCGCCCAGCUCCAAGUCCACCAACUAGGACUCACCUGCAAGGAUGGAAAAGAAAGGGGGUGAGUUUGGAAAACUCAGUGUGUAAAGUAUCCCAACCAGAGCCCAAAUCAGUUCAAGCUUUACUAGGCCUAAGCCCUAUUCAGAAAUCAGUGUUAACUGGGCCUUAGCCCAUAUCAAUAUUAAUCUGGGCCAUAGCCCCUUACAGUAUCAGAGUAUAUUAGGCCUAGCACAUAUCAGUAUCAAUCUGGGCCGUAGCCGUAUUACAAGUCGAGAUAUAUUGGGCCUUGGCCAUAUUAACACAGUUGGGCCGAUUUCAAUAUAGUUGGCCCAUAACAAAAUAGCCUCAUAUGAUUAAUGCAUGAUAACCCCAUCCAACCCUGCACUUGCCUCCGUCCAUCCCUACACUUCCUGUGGGGAAUAAAUCACCCACACCAUCCCUACACUUACAGUGUUAGUACCGAUUGCGGCACUAACUAUAAUCCGCAGCAAAGCUGCUUAUAUCAGAAUAUGUGGCACAGCCACCAGAACGGGUUCUUCCUCCAUAACAUAACCCAGAUCCUAUGCAACAAAUAUACAUGUCAUGGCAUACAACAAACAGAAUCAGAAUAUCAUGCAUUUCAGUCAAAAUUAACCCUAGGGGUAUAACAGUCAUUUUGCACCUAGGGGUAAAAUGGUAAUUUUCAUACUUAGGGGUAUUUUAGUAAAAUUCACUAUUUUAGGGUUUACAUACAUCCUACAACCGUUAACGCAUAAACAGAAACACUUACCGAGCGUCUUUACUAAAUUGGGCCCAUUGGCCCAUUAACCCAUUUUCGGCCCAUUAAGCCCAAAUAUACCGAAGUGCACGAAAUUGCGCACUCUGCAAUCAUACCGCUUUAGAUUACCAAAACUAACAAACAACCAUCUCACAAGCGCUCACACGCUCGCAAGUUCACAAAAUGUUGGCUUUCCGGCAUUUCGACUUUUCGACUUUUGCCGAUCUAGUCUAUGAGUGGGUGUCGUUUACACACCCGUUUUUCGACGAAACGUUGACGAGUUCCACACACGAGUUGCCUACAAUCAGUGACUAACAUGUUAAACUAUGAAUCCAUAACAACUUAACACAUCAAACCCUUACCAUAUUUGGCCCUUAACACCUUAAGCACUAAAGUUCUUACCUUUGCUGGAAAAAUGGACUAGAUCUAAUUCUGGUCGUUCCAAAUAUCCAACCCUUGAUUAGUAGCCUUUAAUCCACACUAGAGCAAAACAAAUCAAAUAACACCACUAAACCCUUUUAGUUUAGUCGACAGGCACCUUUUGCAUAUAGGGGUUUUCGGCUUUUCUUUAAAUCCUGAAAUAAAGAAUGGAAAUAAGAUUCCGAGUACUUACCACCAAUGAUGUACUUGUCAAGAGCAUUUCAAACACUUCCCCAAUCUCAGAUCCACAGUGAAUCCAAUCUUAAAAUACGAGUAGAGAAUAGAAUUAGAUAUUAAUUCCCGAAUCACUAUGACUUAUGAAGGUUUCGGCUUUUAUGAGUGAUCGGAUAAGGUGAUUGAAUGGGAGAGGUUUUUUUUUAUGAUUGGUGAAGCAAAGAAGAUGGGAAGAUGACGAUAAAAGAAAGGAGAAGAAUGGUUUAAUGGCCUCGGCUUGAAGAAUUAGGAGAGCAAGAGAAUGAAAAAGAGAAGAGAAAAAAAAUGAAUCAUAAAGGCCAAAAAUAAAUGGCACUUAUUUGCUAUGGCCGAAUGAAUGCAUUUCGAUAUAAAUCUUCCUUUUAAAUUCCAAUCCCCUGAAUUGCUCCUUGAUUCUUGGCCAAUUUCAAAGUUUGAAUUCCUAACCGCUGAUCUGCAGCCUUAUCCACCGCUUCAUCAUGCUGCUAAGAAGAGUUUCAGUCAAACUCUAACUCUCCCCCACGUGACCAGCAAAAUUAGUAGCCCAUUGCGUGUACAAC
rnacentral:lncRNA from 1 species